GCAUAAAAACUUCAUCUUUGAUUUAAAUCUUUAUCCAACAUUAAUUUUCAUCCGAUACACAUCUCAUCCGAUUUAACCUAAUUCCACCCUAACCUAAUUCAUCUCUGUCUACUCUAGUCGUCAUGGUGCGACUUUAUCUUCAGUGGAGAUGUUCUCAUCAAGUCGAAAGAUUUGGAUGUAGGGGUUGCUUUAUUGUGAAUUGAAUCCCAAAUCCUCAACACACUGAUCAACCCCAUAAUGAAAAAAAAAACGUCGUUAUCCUUCAUAACCCCAACCAUUGUGAAGCUGCGCCGUACCUCCGUGUUGUAAAAGUAUUUAGAAGAGGGGAGAGCCUCUUUGGUCGUAGCUUGAUGUCACAGCAGGCCAAAGAACACAAUUGAGCGGAAAAUUUAGGAUUGUUGAGAUCUUCUGCAAUUCUUUAUUUGAGCAGACCAACAGUGAUUGACUUCACUUGCACCAGAUCAUUAGCUCAAGCCACGAUUUUUCUUUCAUUUUUUCAUCUCAGAACCCACAAUUAAUCUUUGAGGUGAAUUCAGAACAGCGCUAAGGUAAGAUAAAAAAAUAUUUUGAAUGAGCAAGCAAAUCUGUCCAUUCUCGAAAUCAAGUCGCAAUGGUGGUGGGUUGUUUAAAUCCUCAUCAACAACCAUGGGCGUUGACACAGCAGCUCCCAAAUCUCACGUAGCUCAAUGCAGUCAAUUGGAGAUG
rnacentral:lncRNA from 1 species